CGUGAUCAUCAAAGAUGGCGAACUGUUGACAGCAAAAUAAGUUUUCCGUCUAGAAACGUUAAAAAUCUGAGGGAAUUGAUUUUUUCUGCAACAAUCUAGUAAAGAAUCAGCCUGCUCUUGAUUAUCAGGAAUUGGGUCUAUUUUUAGACACUGUGGACUGGUUUAAAGGCAAUAAAUCAGAUUUGAGGCUAUAUUUAGAAGUGGACUGGUUGCUUUGGAGAUUAUUUGGGAGAUUGAAGACCAGUGUGAAUGUGAUGUUUUUGCGUCACAGUCUGAACAGCUCUGGACCCCCUUGAUGGAACAGUGACAGAUUUGAAAAAUAGCCAUCAUGUCUUCAAACAAUUACUAUGGCGUACCUAGAAAGCUGGACUAUAAGGGCAGCGUGGAUUCUGGCUUCCAAGAACCUAUAGGUUAGUCAUUUUUGUAGAAUUGUAACAGGGUCUGUAACCCAUGACAAAUUUCAUAUAUAGAAUUAUGCCCCUUUAUUCUGUAAACAUCUUGUUAGAUACUUUAAACUCUUGUUCAGUAGAUUGUAAAAUAUAGUAGCCACAAAAGGUGAACAUUUGAAAAUCUCUUGUCUAUCCAGAUGUUUGUCCAAUGCCACAGUAU